GCGAUAAGCGCCGGUAAGGUGAUAUGAACCGUUAUAACCGGCGAUACCCGAAUGGGGAAACCCAGUGUGACUCGUCACACUAUCAUUAACUGAAUCCAUAGGUUAAUGAGGCGAACCGGGGGAACUGAAACAUCUAAGUACCCCGAGGAAAAGAAAUCAACCGAGAUUCCCCCAGUAGCGGCGAGCGAACGGGGAGGAGCCCAGAGCCUGAAUCAGCAUGUGUGUUAGUGGAAGCGUCUGGAAAGGCGCGCGAUACAGGGUGACAGCCCCGUACACAAAAGCGCAUGUGCUGUGAGCUCGAUGAGUAGGGCGGGACACGUGGUAUCCUGUCUGAAUAUGGGGGGACCAUCCUCCAAGGCUAAAUACUCCUGACUGACCGAUAGUGAACCAGUACCGUGAGGGAAAGGCGAAAAGAACCCCGGCGAGGGGAGUGAAAAAGAACCUGAAACCGUGUACGUACAAGCAGUGGGAGCACAGGUUUACCUGUGUGACUGCGUACCUUUUGUAUAAUGGGUCAGCGACUUAUAUUCUGUAGCAAGGUUAACCGAAUAGGGGAGCCGGAGGGAAACCGAGUCUUAAUUGGGCGUUAAGUUGCAGGGUAUAGACCCGAAACCCGGUGAUCUAGCCAUGGGCAGGUUGAAGGUUGGGUAACACUAACUGGAGGACCGAACCGACUAAUGUUGAAAAAUUAGCGGAUGACCUGUGGCUGGGGGUGAAAGGCCAAUCAAACCGGGAGAUAGCUGGUUCUCCCCGAAAGCUAUUUAGGUAGCGCCUCGUGAAUUCAUCUCCGGGGGUAGAGCACUGUUUCGGCUAGGGGGCCAUCCCGGCUUACCAACCCGAUGCAAACUGCGAAUACCGGAGAAUGUUAUCACGGGAGACACACGGCGGGUGCUAACGUCCGUCGUGAAGAGGGAAACAACCCAGACCGCCAGCUAAGGUCCCAAAGUCAUGGUUAAGUGGGAAACGAUGUGGGAAGGCCCAGACAGCCAGGAUGUUGGCUUAGAAGCAGCCAUCAUUUAAAGAAAGCGUAAUAGCUCACUGGUCGAGUCGGCCUGCGCGGAAGAUGUAACGGGGCUAAACCAUG
rnacentral:rRNA from 1 species